UAAUACAGAGGGUGCGAGCGUUAAUCGGAAUUACUGGGCGUAAAGCGUGCGUAGACGGUUAUUUAAGUCGGGUGUGAAAGCCCCGGGCUCAACCUGGGAAUUGCAUUCGAGACUGAAUAGCUAGGGUACGGUAGAGGGAAGCGGAAUUUCCGGUGUAGCGGUGAAAUGCGUAGAUAUCGGAAGGAACAUCAGUGGCGAAAGCGGCUUCCUGGACCAGUACCGACGUUCAGGCACGAAAGCGUGGGGAGCAAACAGGAUUAGAUACCCUGGUAGUCCACGCCAUAAACGAUGAGGACUAGACGUUGGAGGGGUAAGCCUUUCAGUGUCGUAGCUAACGCGCUAAGUCCUCCGCCUGGGGAGUACGGCCGCAAGGUUG
rnacentral:rRNA from 1 species